UUUCUCCGGAAAUUGCCGAGCAGGUUCCGAGCGCCAUUCUUGUCUGCUUCGGCAAAUUCCGGAAAUUGCCGAAGCGAGUCGAAUGGGCUUCCAUUGCCGUUUCGGCUUUUUCCGGCGACUGUCGAAGCGGAUAAGCUCGACGACCACGGGUCCUUCGGCUCAUUUCGGAGACAGCCAUUACUAACGGAGUUGAUGACUUUUUAUUACGUGAUAAAAACACGUAGGGGCUUUAUACAGAACUGCUGCCCCUUUGGAGAUAUUUAAGCUCCAGAUUCAAGCUUUUUUUUUUUUUUUAAAAAAAAACCUAAAACCUCGGAAGCGAGCCUGGGCCGGAGAAGGAGGGCGCUAGCACUACGUGGAGCUGAAUUUCAAAUUACGUAACAGUUAAGGCAGCCAUUACUGACCAGUUGUACGGUACUCUCAAGCAGGAAUACGUAAACCAUGAAGAAUAUGAGGGAAAAGGAGCAGUUCCGCAAACUGUUCAUUGGCGGCUUAAGCUUUGAAACAACAGAGGAAAGCUUGAGGAGUUACUAUGAGCAAUGGGGAAAGCUUACAGACUGCGUGGUAAUGAGGGAUCCUGCAAGCAAAAGAUCAAGGGGGUUUGGUUUUGUAACAUUCUCCUCCAUGGCUGAAGUUGAUGCAGCCAUGGCUGCAAGACCUCACACGAUUGAUGGAAGGGUGGUUGAACCUAAGAGAGCUGUGGCUAGAGAGGAAUCUGGAAAACCUGGUGCUCAUGUUACUGUGAAAAAACUAUUUGUUGGCGGUAUUAAAGAGGACACUGAAGAGCACCACCUUCGUGACUACUUUGAGGAAUACGGAAAGAUCGACACUAUUGAAAUUAUUACUGACAGACAGUCUGGUAAAAAGAGAGGGUUUGGAUUUGUUACAUUUGAUGACCAUGAUCCUGUGGAUAAAAUUGUAUUGCAGAAGUAUCACACCAUCAAUGGCCAUAAUGCAGAAGUAAGGAAAGCUCUCUCUAGACAGGAAAUGCAGGAAGUUCAAAAUUCUAGGAGUGGGAGAGGAGGGAACUUUGGUUUUGGUGAUGCACGUGGAGGGGGUGGCAACUUUGGUCCUGGACCUGGCAGCAAUUUCAGAGGGGGAGCCGAUGGGUAUGGAAGUGGCCGUGGAUUUGGUGAUGGGUAUAACGGAUAUGGUGGAGGACCUGGAGGUGGCAACUUUGGUGGCAGUCCUGGUUAUGGAGGAGGAAGAGGAGGAUAUGGUGGAGGAGGACCUGGAUAUGGCAACCAGGGUGGGGGCUAUGGAGGUGGUUAUGACAACUAUGGAGGAGGCAAUUAUGGAAGUGGAAACUAUAAUGAUUUUGGAAACUACAACCAACAACCUUCAAAUUACGGUCCAAUGAAGAGUGGAAAUUUUGGUGGCAGCAGGAACAUGGGGGGACCAUAUGGUGGAGGAAACUAUGGUCCAGGGGGCAGUGGAGGAAGUGGUGGAUAUGGAGGGAGGAGCCGUUACUGAGUUUCUGCAAGCAUGCCAUGGCUAUGAUAUGAACCCUGGACAAGCAUAGACUGCUGCCACUGUACACUGCUACAGUUGAACAAAUGAGACCUGCAAGUGUCCAUUAGUAAAGCUUUGCAAGGGUUCCAUCCCUGGUGUUGGUAGUUAAAAUGGAAGGUGCCAUGCUGCAGGUAACUAAUGAAGAAGUGGUCAACCACAGAAACGCUUCAAGAAAUAAGAAAUUCUGUAUCAUCAGAAAAUAGUUGUUUUUGCUGCCUUCAUUAAAAAUCUAGAGGUUAAAUGAAUACUGAUAAAACAUCACAAUUAGUACAGCUCCCUGUAAUGCUGGGUUUUUUAAAUUAUAGUAUUAAUGUCUUGUAAACCUUUCAAAUAAAAUUCAGAUUCGUUAGGAGAAACAAAUCACUAAUGUUAAAAUAGCAAACAUUCUGUGAGUAGAAAGUUUAACUACAUAUUUUUAUAACUUUCAUAGCUUUAAAAUAAAGUAUUUUUUAUACCAAAGUAGUUCUAGUGUAAUGCUUAAUAAAACUUAGUGUGUGUCUAACAUUAAAUAAUGUUGAUGUGCAGCUUUUAGACCCUUUCAUGAUUUGAAACAUUCCAUUUUGAGGUGGAUUUAAAACAAAAGUCAACUUGGCAAGUGUAUUCACAGAACUUGUACCUCUGACCCUAGGUGCCUGUUCUCUGUUGGGAGAAACAGUGCUACAAAUUAAAAAUGCUGAUCUUUUUGCUGUUGGACACAAUUGCUUUAAAAUAGCUUUUUGGCUGUGUUUUUAUAUCAUUUUAUAAAAAAUAUCUCCUCCUUUCCUGUUAAUGAAACUAACCACUUCAGACAGUUCAUCAAAAUGUGAUAGAACAAUAGCUUUAUCGUUUUCACCUGUAAAGAGCUUUUAGCAUCGAGAGGGAAAGACUGAAUGGGAUGUAGAGUUCCUGCUGUGCCAGAACUGCAUUACUGAUAGCUGCAUCUUCUGGGGGGGAAACCAGCAACAACAACAAAAAAACCCCAAACCAAACUCCCAAGUGUGAGCUUGGGAAACUUGGGAGUGGAUUUGAGGGAAUGCGUCUUCGGUCUGUACUGUUUUAACCUGUUAGGUAGAAUGUUUAUUCUAAACUUGAAAUUUAUAUGUUUUGCUUUGGCAGAAUCAUCAAGUCUUUAACCUUCUUUACAUAAUUCAAAAAUAUUAUUUAAGGAUUCACAUAUGAUUUUUUCCUGUGUUUCUUAAGUUGAACUUUGAAAUACUUGCAUAGGUGGGCUGCAACGGAAGCAGAAAAUGAAGACGCGCAAAGUCUGCUUUACUUUCUUCUUUCCAACAGAAUGAGUUGACCAGUUAAGGAAUUUGCCUUCUUUCCUGGAGCUUAGAUUUAGUUAAUGGAAGUUUUUUCUUUACAGUUGGCAAGUCCACAUUCAUAUGACAUUAAAAAAACCCCACACCACUUCAGAGGGGAGUAAUUCUCUCUCUUUAAAACAUGUACACUCUUAGUUGUUUUGCAACAAGGUUUAGAAUUAACUACAUCAUAUUUUCCAUAAUGAGGAUGUUUUUAAUUUUGAUCUAUGGGCCAUGGGGGAAAGGGGGAGUGUAUAGGGGACAGCAGUAUGCAAAAAAUACAUUUGGAUAUUCAAAGCCUUGAAAGCUUGGAGUAUUUGAGUAAGUUUCCUGUUGUCUUACUGUUGAACUUUCAUGACUUUCCUUUCUUGGUAUGUUGGUAAGACUUAAAGCAAGUGACAGUCACAAUGAUUACUGAUGAAUUCACUAAGAGAAGUCACUGUUUUGAGUCAACCCGAUAAUGAAAGCUAGCAACUUUGAAUAAAAACAACAGCGUGUGGUCAACUGCUGGUCUUCCGUUUGUAGGCAAUAUAUACUUUUCCUCUUGAUUUCUAAGAAGUUGGUUUUAUGUCACUCGACAGACUUUUUGUUUUUAAAGUAGGAGUAACACUGCUGGUCAGCAUGUUUCGGUGUACUAAGAACUGAGGAUUGGGUUGUCAGUGCUAGGCCCAGCUUGUCCUUAGCAAACACUCUGCAGUAAACUAAGGGAAGAAUGUGAAAGAGAACAUAACUUGUUGGUAAUCAGUAUGGGAGCAAAAAAAAAACAAAACCACAAAACCUACAGUGUGUGACUUCCAUUUAUGCCAUGGUGGUGAAGAAGUCAAAUAUCAGGGUUCUGGCCACUCAGACUUUUGUGUUCUCUGUAGUAUUUACAAUGAAAGUGGUAUUUUAUUCACUUGUAUUACUCGUGCUUCAGGUGCUGAAGUGUGUUUAGGAAAAUGUGAGAAAUUGCUCUUAAUACUGUAAAAUUAGCAGGAGUUGAACUUUGUCAUGUCUGGAAAAGACGAUUGUGUUCUGUUAUGAUGAAUGUACAUACUAUCUUGGGGAUGAGAUCAUACUACUGGGGAAGAAAAACCCCCAAAAACAUAGAUCUGAGUUUUGAAGGAGUUGUCAGCUGAGUGUUUUGGCAACUUGACCAUGUUUGUGAAAGAGGACGAUUUACUGAGAACAUGCUGAAACAGCACAUUCCCCAUAGCUUUAGUGCUUCAGUUUGGUAUCAACGCAGGGUGUGAGGCAGGUGGAAUCCCGUAGUGCUGCUGUUACUUUUUUAUUCCUGAGAGAGAGGUUAGGUUCUGUUCUCACGGAUAGGGUGAUCCUGGUAGGAAUUGCAUGGGAAAGUAACGUGGGAGGGUGUUCCUGGGUGAUGAUGACCCCUUUUGCCAGAAGCUGUACCCUCCCUUUAACAGUUGUGUUCUUGCUUUGCAACAAGUGUUGAUUUGCAUUGCCACAGGAGUUACUGCAGUUAUUGUAAGAAAGAACUUGGUUUAUUUACCAACAGUAAAAGUAAACGGUGUUAAACGGCUGUGUGACUUGCCUGACAGAUGGCUGUGAAUGUACUAGGUCAACAGCGUUUGGGGACCGUGUAGUUUACAAACUAGGCUCUGUGACCUCCCACGCUGCUUCACUGUAUGAACAAAGUGACUGUGGGCAAGUCCCAGAAAAUUACUGUUCCCCCCAAGCUCUCACCAAUACGUCAUUUUCCCCCCCAUCCCUUCGCUUCCUCCUCCUUGGUCUGCUCUUUCUUGGUCCCUUCCUUAGCAUUCUUGUAAGGAAAUCAAUGCGUUUGAUGGAGUUUUAGUAGCUGUGUAGCAGGUAUGAAGUUGCAGUGCUUUUACAAAGUACACUACGGUCAUGAGACUUCACAUGGUUACAUGUGUCAUCUCUAUGUGGUUUAUUUAAUAAAGAGUUUUUCACUAGAACCUGGUGCUGUGUGUCCUGUUGCCUCAUUUAUAGGCUGCUACCUACUCUGUCCUCAAGCUUCUCGUUGGAACCAUACUUCUGACUCCUAUCUUAUACAAAUGUACCGUGUGUAUUUUGGGACAAAUACUGAGCUGUUCAAACUGAUUUUGAUGAAGUUGCUUUGUUCUUUGUUUCCUCUGUUCAAAGUUUGUUAUUCCACGCUACGCCAUCUAAAACUAGAUUGUGAGCUCUUGAGCAGGAACAGUCCUAGUUUGUAAAAUUUAGCUUCUGUAAAAAGCAAAGUGUUGAAUAAAAACCAAACCACGAAACUAA